UUUUGAACCUUAGAAAACCUAAUAAAUUGCAUAUUUCUUACCUAUAAAUAUUGUUUGCAAUCAAAUGAAUCUUUAUAAAUUUCUUCACACGAUAUAGAGUGAGUGAGUGAGUGAGAGAGAGAAAGAAAGAUCAUCUUCAAAUGAAGCUAUUGUGGUUCAUUUUGCUCUUGUUUCUCAUCAUUCUUCUCUUCCAAGCAUAUAAUUCUUCUGCUGGCAGGUCAGAAAAUAUUACAUGUCCACCUCCAUCUCCGGAAGGGAGCACCUCUCCUGUUGGUAGUUUUUCUGUUCCGAAUCCAUAGUGUUCACUACAUAUAAUUAAUGUAGUCUUAUGUAAUUUAUUUUUGUCGAGGUAAUAUAAUUUAUCAUGAUAUGUUUCUACUUAUUAAAAAAAAUUAAUAAUAAAAUUAACAGUAUAAAUAUGCCUA